rnacentral:rRNA from 1 species
AUUGAACGCUGGCGGCAUGCUUUACACAUGCAAGUCGAACGGUAACAGGCCUUCGGGUGCUGACGAGUGGCGCACGGGUGUGUAAUGCAUCGGAACGUGCCCAGAGGUGGGGGAUAACGCAGCGAAAGCUGUGCUAAUACCGCACGUGAUCUGAGGAUGAAAGCGGGGGACCAAGCAGCAAUGUUUGGCCUCGCGCCUCUGGAGCGGCCGAUGUCAGAUUAGGUAGUUGGUGGGGUAAAGGCCUACCAAGCCGACGAUCUGUAGCUGGUCUGAGAGGACGAUCAGCCACACUGGGACUGAGACACGGCCCAGACUCCUACGGGAGGCAGCAGUGGGGAAUUUUGGACAAUGGGCGAAAGCCUGAUCCAGCAAUGCCGCGUGCGGGAAGAAGGCCUUCGGGUUGUAAACCGCUUUUGUACGGAACGAAAAGGCUCUGGCUAAUACCUGGGGCUGAUGACGGUACCGUAAGAAUAAGCACCGGCUAACUACGUG